GGUCGUGGCUCAGUGGUAGAGCACUGGCCUAGCACGUGUGAGGCACUGGGUUCAAUCCUCAACACCA
rnacentral:tRNA from 1 species